GCGCCGGUGGUGUAAGGUGAACAUCGCUGACCGGAAAGCAGAAGAUACGGGUUCGAGUCCCGCCUGGCGCA
rfam:Heligmosomoides polygyrus genome assembly, scaffold: HPBE_scaffold0013378